rnacentral:rRNA from 1 species
GACGAACGCUGGCGGCGUGCUUAACACAUGCAAGUCGAACGGUAAGGCUCCAGCUUGCUGGGGUACACGAGUGGCGAACGGGUGAGUAACACGUGGGUGACCUGCCCUGCACUUCGGGAUAAGCCUGGGAAACUGGGUCUAAUACCGGAUAGGACCGCACCGUGAGGGUGUGGUGGAAAGUUUUUUCGGUGUGGGAUGGGCCCGCGGCCUAUCAGCUUGUUGGUGGGGUAAUGGCCUACCAAGGCGGCGACGGGUAGCCGGCCUGAGAGGGUGGACGGCCACAUUGGGACUGAGACACGGCCCAGACUCCUACGGGAGGCAGCAGUGGGGAAUAUUGCACAAUGGGCGGAAGCCUGAUGCAGCGACGCCGCGUGGGGGAUGACGGCCUUCGGGUUGUAAACUCCUUUCACCAUCGACGAAGGGUUUCUGACGGUAGAUGGAGAAGAAGCACCGGCUAACUACGUGCCAGCAGCCGCGGUAAUACGUAGGGUGCGAGCGUUGUCCGGAAUUACUGGGCGUAAAGAGCUCGUAGGUGGUUUGUCGCGUCGUCUGUGAAAUUCCGGGGCUUAACUCCGGGCGUGCAGGCGAUACGGGCAUAACUUGAGUACUGUGGGGGAGACUGGAAUUCCUGGUGUAGCGGUGAAAUGCGCAGAUAUCAGGAGGAACACCGGUGGCGAAGGCGGGUCUCUGGGCAGUAACUGACGCUGAGGAGCGAAAGCAUGGGGAGCGAACAGGAUUAGAUACCCUGGUAGUCCAUGCCGUAAACGGUGGGCGCUAGGUGUGGGUUUCCUUCCACGGGAUCCGUGCCGUAGCUAACGCAUUAAGCGCCCCGCCUGGGGAGUACGGCCGCAAGGCUAAAACUCAAAGGAAUUGACGGGGGCCCGCACAAGCGGCGGAGCAUGUGGAUUAAUUCGAUGCAACGCGAAGAACCUUACCUGGGCUUGACAUAUACAGGAUCGCGCCAGAGAUGGUGUUUCCCUUGUGGCUUGUAUACAGGUGGUGCAUGGUUGUCGUCAGCUCGUGUCGUGAGAUGUUGGGUUAAGUCCCGCAACGAGCGCAACCCUUGUCUUAUGUUGCCAGCACGUUGUGGUGGGGACUCGUAAGAAACUGCCGGGGUUAACUCGGAGGAAGGUGGGGAUGACGUCAAAUCAUCAUGCCCCUUAUGUCCAGGGCUUCACACAUGCUACAAUGGUCGGUACAGUGGGUUGCCAGUCCGUGAGGGCGAGCUAAUCCCGCAAAGCCGGUCUCAGUUCGGAUCGGGGUCUGCAACUCGACCCCGUGAAGUCGGAGUCGCUAGUAAUCGCAGAUCAGCAACGCUGCGGUGAAUACGUUCCCGGGCCU